rnacentral:rRNA from 1 species
UACGGAGGGGGCGAGCGUUAUUCGGAAUUAUUGGGCGUAAAGGGCGCGUAGGCGGCUCUACAAGUCAAAGGUGAAAUCCCUCGGCUCAACUGAGGAACUGCCUUUGAAACUGUAAGGCUUGAGGCCGGGAGGGGGUAGCGGAAUUCCCAGUGUAGCGGUGAAAUGCGUAGAUAUUGGGAGGAACACCAGUGGCGAAGGCGGCUACCUGGACCGGUUCUGACGCUGAUGCGCGAAAGCGUGGGUAGCAAACAGG